UACGUAGGUGGCAAGCGUUGUCCGGAUUUACUGGGCGUAAAGAGCGCGCAGGCGGUCGUUCAAGUCGCGUGUGAAAGCCCCCGGCUCAACUGGGGAGGGUCACGCGAUACUGAUCGACUGGAAGGCAGGAGAGGGUAGUGGAAUUCCCGGUGUAGUGGUGAAAUGCGUAGAUAUGACGCAGAACACCAAUUGCGAAGGCAGCUUGCUACACUGUUAUUGACACUGAGGCACGAAAGCGUGGGGAUCAAACAGG
rnacentral:rRNA from 1 species